AUUGAACGCUGGCGGCAGGCUUAACACAUGCCAGUCGAGCGGGGUGAUGGUGCUUGCACUAUCACUUAGCGGCGGACGGGUGAGUAAUGCUUAGGAAUCUGCCUAUUAGUGGGGGACAACAUCUCGAAAGGGAUGCUAAUACCGCAUACGUCCUACGGGAGAAAGCAGGGGAUCACUUGUGACCUUGCGCUAAUAGAUGAGCCUAAGUCGGAUUAGCUAGUUGGUGGGGUACAGGGCUACCAAGGCGACGAUCUGUAGCGGGUCUGAGAGGAUGAUCCGCCACACUGGGACUGAGACACGGCCCAGACUCCUACGGGAGGCAGCAGUGGGGAAUAUUGGACAAUGGGGGGAACCCUGAUCCAGCCAUGCCGCGUGUGUGAAGAAGGCCUUAUGGUUGUAAAGCACUUUAAGCGAGGAGGAGGCUCUUUUGGUUAAUACCCAAGAUGAGUGGACGUUACUCGCAGAAUAAGCACCGGCUAACUCUGUGCCAGCCGCCGCGGUAA
rnacentral:rRNA from 1 species